CACGUAGGGUGCGAGCGUUGUCCGGAAUUAUUGGGCGUAAAGAGCUCGUAGGCGGUGUGUCGCGUCGGCCGUGAAAACCUGCAGCUUAACUGUGGGCGUGCGGUCGAUACGGGCAUCACUGGAGUUCGGCAGGGGAGACUGGAAUUCCUGGUGUAGCGGUGAAAUGCGCAGAUAUCAGGAGGAACACCGGUGGCGAAGGCGGGUCUCUGGGCCGAUACUGACGCUGAGGAGCGAAAGCGUGGGGAGCGAAUGGG
rnacentral:rRNA from 1 species